rnacentral:rRNA from 1 species
UUGAACGCUGGCGGCAGGCCUAACACAUGCAAGUCGAACGGUAACAGGAAGAAGCUUGCUUCUUUGCUGACGAGUGGCGGACGGGUGAGUAAUGUCUGGGAAACUGCCUGAUGGAGGGGGAUAACUACUGGAAACGGUAGCUAAUACCGCAUAACGUCGCAAGACCAAAGAGGGGGACCUUCGGGCCUCUUGCCAUCGGAUGUGCCCAGAUGGGAUUAGCUAGUAGGUGGGGUAACGGCUCACCUAGGCGACGAUCCCUAGCUGGUCUGAGAGGAUGACCAGCCACACUGGAACUGAGACACGGUCCAGACUCCUACGGGAGGCAGCAGUGGGGAAUAUUGCACAAUGGGCGCAAGCCUGAUGCAGCCAUGCCGCGUGUAUGAAGAAGGCCUUCGGGUUGUAAAGUACUUUCAGCGGGGAGGAAGGGAGUAAAGUUAAUACCUUUGCUCAUUGACGUUACCCGCAGAAGAAGCACCGGCGAACUCCGU